GGUGGGAGCGGUGGUGGGCAUGGCUUGGGGACCGGCGCUUGCGUCAACCGACGGCGAGCUCGGCUGCUGCCAACCAGCCAAGGUCUUGGAUUCGUAAAGUGAUACAUCCCUGGAUCAAUUUAAGCUCUUGCAAUCUCCAAUCAGUUAAGAUGAGUCACAUGGCGACGCUCGAGAAGGUGAUGUCUGGCAGGGAUCAACACACUCUUUGCCACCCAGUACGGCCUGCCCAUGGUUGAUGGCAAGGGCAGGUGCAUUGGGUUGUCUCCAAGAAGCACAAGGCCAGGGCAUCCAAUUGGGUAACCCGGUGCAACUGCUGUUCCCCAAUGAGUUCUUUGUCAUAGAAUGACCUUUUGGUAGCAGUACUGAAUAAUAAAAAAAUUGUUGCUGUUUGCGCGUCUCC